rnacentral:rRNA from 1 species
AGAGCGAACGCUGGCGGCAGGCCUAACACAUGCAAGUCGAGCGCCCCGCAAGGGGAGCGGCAGACGGGAGAGUAACACGUGGGAACGUACCCUUCAGUUCGGAACAACCCAGGGAAACUUGGGCUAAUACCGAAUACGUCCGUAAGGAGAAAGAUUUAUCGCUGAAGGAUCGGCCCGCGUCUGAUUAGCUUGUUGGUGAGGUAAUGGCUCACCAAGGCUACGAUCAGUAGCUGGUCUGAGAGGAUGAUCAGCCUCACUGGGACUGAGACACGGCCCAGACUCCUACGGGAGGCAGCAGUGGGGAAUAUUGGACAAUGGGCGCAAGCCUGAUCCAGCCAUGCCGCGUGGGUGAUGAAGGCCCUAGGGUUGUAAAGCCCGUUUCGGCGGGGAAGAUAAUGACGGUACCCGCAGAAGAACGCCCCGGCUAACUUCGCGCCAGCAGCCGC